rnacentral:rRNA from 1 species
GACAGAGGGUGCAAACGUUGUUCGGAAUUACUGGGCGUAAAGGGCGCGUAGGCGGCCUGUUAAGUCGAACGUGAAAUCCCCGGGCUCAACCCGGGAACUGCGUCCGAUACUGGCAGGCUUGAAUUCGGGAGAGGGAUGCGGAAUUCCAGGUGUAGCGGUGAAAUGCGUAGAUAUCUGGAGGAACACCGGUGGCGAAGGCGGUUCUCUGGGCAUGUCCUGACGCUGAGGAGCGAAAGUGUGGGGAGCGAACAGG